GCCUCUGUGGGGUAGUUGGUUAUCCCGUGAGUCUCAUACUUCAUGAGCGGAAGUUCACUUCUGUGAUAUCUCAAGGUCAGGAGUUCGAUCCUCCUCGGAGGCA
rfam:Aspergillus clavatus NRRL 1 1099423829802 genomic scaffold, whole genome shotgun sequence.